rnacentral:rRNA from 1 species
UAGGGAAUCUUCGGCAAUGGGGGGAACCCUGACCGAGCAACGCCGCGUGAGUGAAGAAGGUUUUCGGAUCGUAAAGCUCUGUUGUUAAGGAAGAACGUGUGUGAGAGUGGAAAGUUCACACAGUGACGGUACUUAACCAGAAAGGGACGGCUAACUACGUGCCAGCAGCCGCGGUAAUACGUAGGUCCCGAGCGUUGUCCGGAUUUAUUGGGCGUAAAGCGAGCGCAGGCGGUUAGAUAAGUCUGAAGUGAAAGGCAGUGGCUCAACCAUUGUAGGCUUUGGAAACUGUUUAACUUGAGUGCAGAAGGGGAGAGUGGAAUUCCAUGUGUAGCGGUGAAAUGCGUAGAUAUAUGGAGGAACACCGGUGGCGAAAGCGGCUCUCUGGUCUGUAACUGACGCUGAGGCUCGAAAGCGUGGGGAGCGAACAGGAUUAGAUACCCUGGUAGUCCACGCCGUAAACGAUGAGUGCUAGGUGUUAGGUCCUUUCCGGGACUUAGUGCCGCAGCUAACGCAUUAAGCACUCCGCCUGGGGAGUACGGCCGCAAGGUUG